ACCCUUGCCUUAGUUGCCAUCAUUUAGUUGGGCACUUUAAUGGGACUGCCGGUGACAACCGGAGGAAGGUGGGGAUGACAUCAAGUCCUCAUGGCCCUUAUGGGCGGGGCUUCACACGUAAUACAAUGGUCGGUACACAGGGUUGCCCAGCCUCGAGGUGGAGCCCAUCCCCCAAAGCCCAUGUCAUUCCGGAUUGCAGUCUGCAACUCUACUGCCUGAAAUCGGAAUCGCUAGUAAUCGCGGAUCACCAUGUCGCGGUGAAAACAUUCCCGGGCCUUGUACACACCGCCCGU
rnacentral:rRNA from 1 species